GGGGCAGUAGCUCAGUCGGGAGAGCGCGACGUUCGCAAUGUCGAGGUCAGGGGUUCGAUUCCCCUCUGCUCCACCA
rnacentral:tRNA from 1 species